rnacentral:rRNA from 1 species
AUUGAACGCUGGCGGCAUGCCUUACACAUGCAAGUCGAACGGUAGGGGGAGCAAUCCCCCGAGAGUGGCGAACGGGUGAGUAAUGCAUCGGAACGUACCUAGUUGUGGGGGAUAGCCCGGCGAAAGCCGGAUUAAUACCGCAUACGCCCCAAGGGGGAAAGCGGGGGACUCGCAAGAGCCUCGCGCAACUGGAGCGGCCGAUGUCAGAUUAGCUAGUUGGUAGGGUAAAAGCCUACCAAGGCAACGAUCUGUAGCUGGUCUGAGAGGAUGACCAGCCACACUGGGACUGAGACACGGCCCAGACUCCUACGGGAGGCAGCAGUGGGGAAUUUUGGACAAUGGACGCAAGUCUGAUCCAGCCAUGCCGCGUGCGGGAAGAAGGCCU